rnacentral:piRNA from 1 species
UCCCGCGAGUUAUUAACAAACAAAAU